GACGAACGCUGUCGGCGUGCUUAACACAUGCAAGUCGAACGGAAAGGCCCUGCUUUUGUGGGGUGCUCGAGUGGCGAACGGGUGAGUAACACGUGAGUAACCUGCCCUUGACUUUGGGAUAACUUCAGGAAACUGGGGCUAAUACCGGAUAGGAGCUCCUGCUGCAUGGUGGGGGUUGGAAAGUUUCGGCGGUUGGGGAUGGACUCGCGGCUUAUCAGCUUGUUGGUGGGGUAGUGGCUUACCAAGGCUUUGACGGGUAGCCGGCCUGAGAGGGUGACCAGCCACAUUGGGACUGAGAUACGGCCCAGACUCCUACGGGAGGCAGCAGUGGGGAAUAUUGCACAAUGGGCGGAAGCCUGAUGCAGCAACGCCGCGUGCGGGAUGACGGCCUUCGGGUUGUAAACCGCUUUCGCCUGUGACGAAGCGUGAGUGACGGUAAUGGGUAAAGAAGCACCGGCUAACUACGUGCCAGCAGCCGCGGUGAUACGUAGGGUGCGAGCGUUGUCCGGAUUUAUUGGGCGUAAAGGGCUCGUAGGUGGUUGAUCGCGUCGGAAGUGUAAUCUUGGGGCUUAACCCUGAGCGUGCUUUCGAUACGGGUUGACUUGAGGAAGGUAGGGGAGAAUGGAAUUCCUGGUGGAGCGGUGGAAUGCGCAGAUAUCAGGAGGAACACCAGUGGCGAAGGCGGUUCUCUGGGCCUUUCCUGACGCUGAGGAGCGAAAGCGUGGGGAGCGAACAGGCUUAGAUACCCUGGUAGUCCACGCUGUAAACGGUGGGUACUAGGUGUGGGGUCCAUUCCACGGGUUCCGUGCCGUAGCUAACGCUUUAAGUACCCCGCCUGGGGAGUACGGCCGCAAGGCUAAAACUCAAAGGAAUUGACGGGGCCCCGCACAAGCGGCGGAGCAUGCGGAUUAAUUCGAUGCAACGCGUAGAACCUUACCUGGGUUUGACAUGGAUCGGGAGUGCUCAGAGAUGGGUGUGCCUCUUUUGGGGUCGGUUCACAGGUGGUGCAUGGCUGUCGUCAGCUCGUGUCGUGAGAUGUUGGGUUAAGUCCCGCAACGAGCGCAACCCUUGUUCACUGUUGCCAGCACGUUAUGGUGGGGACUCAGUGGAGACCGCCGGGGUCAACUCGGAGGAAGGUGGGGAUGACGUCAAGUCAUCAUGCCCCUUAUGUCCAGGGCUUCACGCAUGCUACAAUGGCUGGUACAGAGAGUGGCGAGCCUGUGAGGGUGAGCGAAUCUCGGAAAGCCGGUCUCAGUUCGGAUUGGGGUCUGCAACUCGACCUCAUGAAGUCGGAGUCGCUAGUAAUCGCAGAUCAGCAACGCUGCGGUGAAUACGUUCCCGGGGCU
rnacentral:rRNA from 1 species